rnacentral:misc_RNA from 1 species
GUUGAUUUUAAGCCCAGGGAUUGCCUCAAAGAAACCCGAAACAGUGAUUAAGGUUCCUAAAGCAGUCCUCUUUGCUAGAGCAAAAAAACAUAGUUUUAAGACCAUGCCACGUCCUUCAAACCAACCUUAAAGGGUUUGAUAAUGUUACCUUCCACCCCCUUCAGGAUGAGUCUACUCAAAAUGUCCACAACUAGGAGGAAUUAAAAG